AACACAUGAUCAACUUGCCCUAUGGAGAAGCAUAACCUCGGGAAACUGAGGAUAAUAUUUCAUAGUUGAAUAGGCUUGGAAAAGUUUUUCAAUGAAAGGAAUAAGAUAAAUGGUUCUUAUUUGCCAUAGGAUAGGAUCGUGCUCGAUUAUGGUUGUUGGUGAGGUAACGGCUCACCAAGCCGAUAAUCGAUAGGGGCCGUGAGAGCGGGAGCCCCGAGAUGGGUACUGAGACAACGACCCAGACCUUACGAGGUGCAGCAGGCGCGGGACCUCCGCAAUACACGAAAGUGUGACGGGGUUACCCAAAGUGUCCAAUAUUGGACUGUGGUAGGUGAGUAAUGUCCCCUACUAGAAAGGAGAGGGCAAGGCUGGUGCCAGCCGCCGCGGUAAAACCAGCUCUUCAAGUGGUCGGGAUGAUUAUUGGGCUUAAAGUGUCCGUAGCCGGUUUAGUAAGUUCCUGGUAAAAUCGAGUAGCUUAACUAUUUGUAUGCUAGGAAUACUGCUAUACUAGAGGGCGGGAGAGGUCUGAGGUACUACAGGGGUAGG
rnacentral:rRNA from 1 species